GAUGAACGCUGGCGGUAUGCCUAACACAUGCAAGUCGAACGGACUCUUCGGAGUUAGUGGCGGACGGGUGAGUAACGCGUGAGAAUCUGGCUUUGGGUUCGGGACAACCACUGGAAACGGUGGCUAAUACCGGAUGUGCCGAGAGGUAAAAGAGAAAUUGCCUGAAGAUGAGCUCGCGUCUGAUUAGCUAGUUGGUGAGGUAAAGGCUCACCAAGGCAGCGAUCAGUAGCUGGUCUGAGAGGAUGACCAGCCACACUGGGACUGAGACACGGCCCAGACUCCUACGGGAGGCAGCAGUGGGGAAUUGUCCGCAAUGGGCGAAAGCCUGACGGAGCAAUACCGCGUGAGGGAAGAAGGCUCUUGGGUUGUAAACCUCUUUUCUUAGGGAAGAACAAAAUGACGGUACCUAAGGAAUCAGCAUCGGCUAACUCCGUG
rnacentral:rRNA from 1 species